rnacentral:tRNA from 2 species
UGGGCUAUAGCCAAGCGGUAAGGCAACGGUUUUUGGUACCGUCACGCGCUGGUUCGAAUCCAGCUAGCCCAGCCA